GGGACAGGUACGUAACGCAAUGUGGGAAAUGGUGCUUCACUAUGAACUUUAAUUCAUCUCGUGGAAAUAUGUACAAUAUGGAGUUGUGUUGGACACUGUGUACUUCUUGCUUGUGAUUCCCUUGCGCUUCUCUGUGUGCCCACCCAAGCAAAUACUGUGGCUCACUCAUGGCUGUAGCUCAAGCAAGGAGUUGGCCCAGAGCCUUCCAUGAUGCUGCUGGUGAUAUCAAAGUUGCCUACCCCGUACCUACUGCCCCACAGCUCUCUUGCACCUGUAUUGGCAUAAUACUGGGGACAAUGGAACUAGUGACACAAUAGUGUCAUAAUUCAUCACAACAUACACUCUAUCCAAUGGGAACCCACAAUAUUCAGUUUUUCCCUGUCCCUCUUUGCUACGCUGACUGCCACUAUGGUAAAGCUCAUCCCCGUUCCCCAGACUUUGUAGCCAUACAUCCCAACAUUUUCCAGUCUCAGAAAACCUGAUUUUAAGGGCCCCUUGUAUACUCCUCAACUCCUAGUCUGGGCUGACUUACAUAUGCUUGAUAAAGGAAUUAUUUUGGCCCGAAAUGUUGCACCUCAGCAAUAAAGAUUUCUAAGGGCUGGUCCCGUUUGUA